rnacentral:rRNA from 1 species
UGCCAGCCGCCGCGGUAAUACGGAGGGGGCUAGCGUUGUUCGGAAUUACUGGGCGUAAAGCGCACGUAGGCGGAUCAGAAAGUCAGAGGUGAAAUCCCAGGGCUCAACCUUGGAACUGCCUUUGAAACUCCUGAUCUUGAGGUCGAGAGAGGUGAGUGGAAUUCCGAGUGUAGAGGUGAAAUUCGUAGAUAUUCGGAGGAACACCAGUGGCGAAGGCGGCUCACUGGCUCGAUACUGACGCUGAGGUGCGAAAGCGUGGGGAGCAAACAGGAUUAGAUA